UACGUAGGGUGCGAGCGUUGUCCGGAAUUAUUGGGCGUAAAGGGCUCGUAGGCGGUUUGUCGCGUCGGGAGUGAAAAUCCAGGGCUUAACUCCGGACUGGCUUCCGAUACGGGCAGACUAGAGGUAUGCAGGGGAGAACGGAAUUCCUGGUGUAGCGGUGAAAUGCGCAGAUAUCAGGAGGAACACCGGUGGCGAAGGCGGUUCUCUGGGCAUUACCUGACGCUGAGGAGCGAAAGUGUGGGGAGCGAACAGG
rnacentral:rRNA from 1 species